AACUCACUUUAGUAGAAAGAGCUGACAUGAUGAACACUUUCCUUAGCAUAGCUGUAUGUCUAUUGUGGCUAACAGUGGUAAAUCAUGCAAAAAUGGUUCUCCAGAGUCCUGAUGACCUCAUGAAAAACCAGAAUGAAUUGGCUGUUUUCACAUGUUCUCACAAUAUACAAGACUACAACCGAAUGCUGUGGUACAAACAGAGUCACAUGUCUGGCCUCACGCUGAUGGGAUACCUCAAUUUUGAGAACGAGAAUAUAGAGCCUGAAUUUGAAAACAAGAUCAAACUGGAGGGAAAUGCAAAGAAAAGUGGCAAUUUGACUAUCAAGAAUCUCAGACUGGGUGACAGUGCAGUGUAUUUCUGUGCAGCAUAUUACACAGUGAUACAGACAAUCAAAUCUUAAUACAA